AGCCUUCUGAAUCCGUGCUGAGAUUUCAUCAAACACUAGACCAUCAAGACUGAUGCAACUCUCAAGAUAAGUGGAGCG
rfam:Schistosoma mansoni strain Puerto Rico chromosome 4, complete genome